UACAGAGGUCUCAAGCGUUGUUCGGAUUCAUUGGGCGUAAAGGGUGUGUAGGUGGCGCCCGUAAGUCGGGUGUGAAAUUUCGGAGCUUAACUCCGAAACUGCAUUCGAUACUGCCGUGCUUGAGGACUGGAGAGGAGACUGGAAUUUACGGUGUAGCGGUGAAAUGCGUAGAUAUCGUAAGGAAGACCAGUGGCGAAGGCGGGUCUCUGGACAGUUCCUGACGCUGAGGCACGAAGGCCAGGGGAGCAAACGGG
rnacentral:rRNA from 1 species